GUCCACACUGUAAACGAUGAACACUUGGUGUGGAGGGAGUUGACCCCUUCCGUGCCGGAGCUAACGCGUUAAGUGUUCCGCCUGGGGAGUACGGUAGCAAGGCUGAAACUCAAAGGAAUUGACGGGGGCCCGCACAAGCGGUGGAGCAUGUGGUUUAAUUCGACGCAACGCGAAGAACCUUACCUGGGCUUGAACUGUAGUGGACCGCGGUAGAGAUAUCGCUUUUCGCAAGAACUGCUACAGAGGUGCUGCAUGGCUGUAGU
rnacentral:rRNA from 1 species